ensembl:lncRNA
UAAAUACAUAUUCUUGUUUUAUUUAUACUUUAUUCAACAUUUAACAAAUGUAACUAAACUCCAUGUUACAGUUAGUUGAAUUGUUUGGUUCCAUGCUUGUGUUUGUUUCAAACUCCAUCCAAUAUUUUAUCUUUAUCACUGACCUCAACCCAGAGUCUUUUAGAGUGUUCACAGACCAUAAAAAUAGAGUAUAUGAAUCCAUAAAUACCUCAUAUAGCACUGUAGUCCACCACAAACAACUGUGACGAUUUACACACAAAAAUAGAGUAUAGUAUACUUCAUUUCAAAUUCAUAUAGUCGUUAUAUCAUUAUAUGGAUACUUAGGUGCUUUUUCAUAAACUGUAAUACAGAGCACUUCGCAUAUAGUGAUAAUCUGUGCAGGACUGUCAGCGAUUGAUCACUAUACAGUAUUCACUAUCAGCAGAGUGGUGUAUACAGUAUUCACUAACAGAGUGGUGCAUACAGUAUUCACUAUUAACAGAGUGGUGUAAACAGUAUUCACUAUUAGCAGAGUGUUGUAUACAGUAUUCACUAUUAGCAGAGUGGUGUAUACAGUAUUCACUAUCAGCAGAGUGGUGUAUACAGUAUUCACUAACAGAGUGGUGCAUACAGUAUUCACUAUUAACAGAGUGGUGUAAACAGUAUUCACUAUUAGCAGAGUGUUGUAUACAGUAUUCACUAUUAGCAGAGUGGUGUAUACAGUAUUCACUAACAGAGUGGUGUAUACAGUAUUCACUAUUAGCAUGGUGUAUACAGUAUUCACUAUUAGCAGUGUGGUGUAUACAGUAUUCACUAACAGAGUGGUGUAUACAGUAUUCACUAUUAACAGUGGUGUACAGUAUUCAUUAUUAGCAGAGUAUACUGUAUACAGUAUUCACUAUUAGCAGAGUAUACUGUAUACAGUAUUCACUAUUAGCAGAGUGGCAUAUACAGUAUUCACUAUUAACAGAGUGCUUUAUACAGUAUUCACUAUUAGCAGAGUAUAUUGUAUACAGUAUUCACUAUUAACAGAGUAUACUGUAUACAGUAUUCACUAUUAACAGAGUAUACUGUAUACAGUAUUCACUGUUAGCAGAGUAUACUGUAUACAGAAUUCCCUAUUAACAGAGUGGUGUAUAUAGACUUCGUUAUUAGUAGAGUAUACUGUAUACAUUAUUCACUAUUAGCAGAGUGUACUGUAUACAGUAUUCACUAUUAGCAGAGUGUACUGUAUACAGUAUUCACUAUUAGCAGAGUAUACUCUAUACAGUAUUCACUAUUAACAGAGUGGUGUAUACAGUAUUCGCUAUUAGCAGAGUGUACUGUAUACAGUAUUCACUAUUAGCAGAGUAUACUCUAUACAGUAUUCACUAUUAACAGAGUGGUGUAUACAGUAUUCGCUAUUAGCAGAGUGUACUGUAUACAGUAUUCACUAUUAGCAGAGUAUACUGUAUACAGUAUUCACUUAACAGAGUGGUGUAUACAGUAUUCACUAUUAGUAGAGUAUACUGUAUACAGUAUUCACUAUUAGCAGAGUGUACUGUAUACCAUAUUCACUAUUAGCAGAGUGGUGUAUACAAUAUUCACUAUUUGCAGAGUGUACUGUAUACAGUAUUCACUAUUAGCAGAGUAUACUGUAUACAGUAUUCACUUAACAGAGUGGUGUAUACAGUAUUCACUAUUAACAGAGUGGUGUACAGUAUUCACUAUUAGCAGAGUGUGCUAUAUACAGUAUUCACUAUUAGCAGAGUAUACUGUAUACAGUAUUCACUAUUAACAGAGCAUACUGUAUACAGUAUGCACUAUUAGCAGAGUAUACUGUAUACAGUAUUCACUAUUAGCAGUGUGUACUGUAUACAGUAGUCACCAUUAGCAGAGUAUACUGUAUACAGUAUUCACUAUUAGCAGAGUAUACUGUAUACAGUAUUCACUAUUAACAGAGUGGUGUAGAGUAUUCACUAUUAGCAGAGUGUGCUGUAUACAGUAUUCACUAUUAGCAGAGUGUACUGUAUACAGUAUUCACUAUUAGCAGAGUGGUGUAUACAAUAUUCACUAUUUGCAGAGUGUACUGUAUACAGUAUUCACUAUUAGCAGAGUAUACUGUAUACAGUAUUCACUUAACAGAGUGGUGUAUACAGUAUUCACUAUUAACAGAGUGGUGUACAGUAUUCACUAUUAGCAGAGUGUGCUAUAUACAGUAUUCACUAUUAGCAGAGUAUACUGUAUACAGUAUUCACUAUUAACAGAGCAUACUGUAUACAGUAUGCACUAUUAGCAGAGUAUACUGUAUACAGUAUUCACUAUUAGCAGUGUGUACUGUAUACAGUAUUCACUAUUAGCAGAGUAUACUGUAUACAGUAUUCACUAUUAACAGAGUGGUGUAGAGUAUUCACUAUUAGCAGAGUGUGCUGUAUACAGUAUUCACUAUUAGCAGAGUGUACUGUAUACAGUAUUCACUAUUAGCAGAGUAUACUCUAUACAGUAUUCACUAUUAACAGAGUGGUGUAUACAGUAUUCGCUAUUAGCAGAGUGUACUGUAUACAGUAUUCACUAUUAGCAGAGUAUACUGUAUACAGUAUUCACUUAACAGAGUGGUGUAUACAGUAUUCACUAUUAGCAGAGUGUACUGUAUACAGUAUUCACUAUUAGCAGAGUAUACUCUAUACAGUAUUCACAAUUAACAGUGGUGUAUACAGUAUGCACUAUUAGUAGAGUAUACUGUAUACAGUAUUCACUAUUAGCAGAGUGUACUGUAUACAGUAUUCACUAUUAGCAGAGUGUACUGUAUGCAGUAUUCACUAUUAGCAGAGUAUACUGUAUACAGUAUUCACUAUUAACAGAGCAUACUGUAUACAGUAUUCACUAUUAGAAGAGUGUACUGUAUACAGUAUUCACUAUUCGCAGAGUGUACUGUAUACAGUAGUCACCAUUAGCAGAGUAUACUGUAUACAGUAUUCACUAUUAGCAGAGUGUACUGUAUACAGUAUUCACUAUUAGCAGAGUAUACUCUAUACAGUAUUCACUUAACAGAGUGGUGUAUACAGUAUUCACUAUUAGUAGAGUGUACUGUAUACAGUAUUCACUAUUAACAGAGUAUACUGUAUACAGUAUUCACUAUUAGCAGAGUAUACUGUAUACAGUAUUCACUAUUAGCAGAGUAUACUGUAUACAGUAUUCACUAUUAGCAGAGUAUACUGUAUACAAUAUUCACUAACAGCUUUUCACUGAAGGUGACAGCUGGACCAGAAGGGCAUAUAGACCGCCCUCAGGACUGACUGACGAAGACACCAGAACACACACACUGAAGUACACACACUCACUGACGUACAGAAACAAACAUACACACUCUCACACACACUGACGUAGGCUAUACAUACAUACAUAUCGUCACACACACACACACACAGCACAGACUCCAUUGAGGACCAAAACGAGGCACGACGGGACUUGGCAGUGCGACAUGGAAUGUUUUAAUCAUUGAUUCUGGAUGGUUACAGUAGUUCUGGAUAAUGCUCGUUGUGACAUAAUGCCAUGUACUCUAAUAGCCAUCGGAAUCCUCCUGCAAGUACAGAGAGGGAAAAGUUACUUCAGGAAUUAUUAGUAUUACAUUAUGUUCCUAUUUGUGUAAUAACUGAUAACAAAUGAUCCCAAAGUGAAUCACAAACAUACCAUAGACGGAGGGUGAUGAUGGUGGAUGAAACCCAAAAACAUUACUGUGAAGUCAUGGGAACCUCACCCUUCUGAACGGAAAUCCACAACAAAAGAAACAAUUAAACACAAACAAAAACUAUGUAAAACAAUCUGAUGAAUGAAACAUGGAGGAUGAUGACUCAGUAAAAACGGGAGGAUGAUGACUCAGUAAAAACGUGAGGAUGAUGACUCAGUAAAAACGGGAGGAUGAUGACUCAGUAAAAACGGGAGGAUGAUGAGGAGUUAACCAUUAAUCACUGAUUCAAUGACAGAGUUACUGUACAGUCCUGUAGGUUCUCUCUCCAACCCUGUUCCUGGAGAGCUACCCUCCUGUAGGUUUUCAUUCCCACCCUGUUCCUGGAGAGCUACCCUCCUGUAGGUUUUCAUUCCCACCCUGUUCCUGGAGAGCUACCCUCCUGUAGGUUUUCAUUCCCACCCUGUUCCUGGAGAGAUACUACCCUCCUGUAGGUUUUCAUUCCCACCCUGUUCCUGGAGAGAUACUACCCUCCUGUAGGUUUUCAUUCCAAUCCUGUUCCCGGAGAGCUACCCUCCUGUAGGUUUUCAUUCCCACCCUGUUCCUGGAGAGAUACUAACCUCCUGUAGGUUUUAACUCCAACCCUGUUCCUGGAGAGCUACCCUCCUGUAGGUUUUCAUUCCAACCCUGUUCCUGGAGAGCUACCCUCCUGUAGGUUUUAACUCCAACCCUGUUCCCGGAGAGAUACCCUCCUGUAGGUUUUCAAUCCAAUUCCAGUUGUAACUAACCUGAUUCAACUUAUUAACCAGCUAAUUACAAGAGUCAGGUGCGCUAGGUUAGGGUUGGAGAGAGAAUCUACAGGAUGGUACAGUAACUCUCCAGGAACAGGGUUGGAGAGAGAACCUACAGGAUGGUACGGUAACUCUCCAGGAACAGGGUUGGAGAGAGAACCUACAGGACGGUACAGUAACUCUCCAGGAACAGGGUUGGAGAGAGAACCUACAGGACGGUACAGUAACUCUCCAGGAACAGGGUUGGAGAGAGAACCUACAGGACGGUACAGUAACUCUCCAGGAACAGGGUUGGAGAGCCUUGGUCUACAGCCUCGGACCCCGAGGUUCCAUCUACAGAAAGCCUGUUGAAAUAGUGAUCUAGAAGAUGUUAAGCGUGACGGUAAAUGUCCCACCUCUGCAGCAUCAUCGCCCUCUGGGUCCGCUGGAGACUCGUUGAUGGGCAAGUCUUUAGACAUAGCAUCUUCAUCCUGCAAUAAUAACACAUUCACUGACCAGGUCAACAAUGGACAAGUGUCCCAAAUAACCCUGUUAGACUAUUACCUUGUGUUAGUUGGUUGCUGCUGC